UACAGAGGUCCCGAGCGUUGUUCGGAAUUACUGGGCGUAAAGGGUUUGUAGGUGGCCCGCUAAGUCACACGUGAAAUCCCUCAGCUUAACUGGGGAACUGCGUGUGAGACUGGCAGGCUCGAGGGCAGGAGAGGAACGCGGAAUUCCAGGUGUAGCGGUGAAAUGCGUAGAUAUCUGGAGGAACACCGGUGGCGAAGGCGGCAUCCUGGACCGGCAUUGACGCUGAUGAGCGAAAGCUAGGGGAGCAAACGGG
rnacentral:rRNA from 1 species